rnacentral:rRNA from 1 species
CGAUUUCGGAGAGGGAGCAUGAGAAACGGCUACCACAUCUAAGGAAGGCAGCAGGCGCGUAAAUUACCCAAUCCUGACUCAGGGAGGUAGUGACAAGAAAUAGCAAACCGGGAACCUCAUGGUUUCACGGUAUUGCAAUGAGAACAAUUUAAAACCCUUAGCGAGAAUCAAGUGGAGGACAAGUCUGGUGCCAGCACCCGCGGUAAUUCCAGCUCCACUAGCGUAUAUUAAAGUUGUUGCAGUUAAAAAGCUCGUAGUUGAACCUCUGUCUGGGGCUAGUUUUGGCUUUGGUCAGGCUAGUUCUAGGCAUCCGCCUACAAGACUUAGAGGGCAUUCAGUUGUUCACUAGGAGGAGUAGGCAUUUUACUUUGAAAAAAUUAGAGUGUUUAAGGCAGGCAAUCGCCCGCAUAUAUUAGCAUGGAAUAAUAGAAUAGGACACUUUUCCAUUUCGUUGGUUAUUGGAAUCGUGUAAUGAUUAAUAGGGACAGUUGUGGGCAUUUGUAUUUAAUUGUCAGAGGUGAAAUUCUUGGAUUUAUUAAAGACAAACUAACGCGAAAGCAUUUGCCAAGGAUGUUUUCAUUAAUCAAGAACGAAAGUUAGGGGAUCAAAGACGAUCAGAUACCGUCCUAGUCUUAACUAUAAACUAUUCCGACUCAAUGUUUGACUGGCUUAUAUAACCAGUUGAGCGUUGUAUGAGAAAUCAAAGUCUUUAGGUUCUGGGGGGAGUAUGGUUGCAAAGCUGAAACUUAAAGGAAUUGACGGAAGAGCACAACCAGGAGUGGAUUCUGCGGCUUAAUUUGACUCAACACGGGGAAACUUACCAGGUUAAAGCAAUAGUGGGAUUGACAGUUUGAGAGCGCUUUCUUGAUUGGUUGGGUGGUGGUGCAUGGCCGUUCUUAGUUGGUGGAGUGAUUUGUCUGCUUAAUUGCGUUAACGAACGAGACCUUAACCUGCUUACUAGACUGGCGAUCAUCAAUCGUUAGCUCUUCUUAGAGGGACUUUGGUUGUUUUAACUCCAAGGAAGUUUGAGGCAAUAACAGGUCUGUGAUGCCCUUAGAUAUCCUGGGCCGCACGCGUCAUACAAUGACUAGUUCAGAAAGUUUUCUCCUGACCCGAAAGGGGAUGGGUAAUCUCGAUAAUACUAGUCGUGUUAGGGAUCGAUCUUUGCAAUUAUAGAUCUUGAACGAGGAAUUCCUAGUAAGUGCGGUUCAUCAGACCGUACUGAUUACGUCCCUGCUCUUUGUACACACCGCCCGUCGCUUCUACCGAGUGGGUGGUCCGGUGAGAUAAUUGAACUUCGCAGGUAACUGAGAGGAAAGAUUAUCAAACCUAUCCACCUCGAGGAAGAAGAAGUCGUAACAAGGUU